rnacentral:rRNA from 1 species
GAACGCUGGCGGCGUGCUUAACACAUGCAAGUCGAACGAGAAGAGAUGAGAAGCUUGCUUCUUAUCAAUUCGAUGGCAAACGGGUGAGUAACGCGUAAGCAACCUGCCCUUCAGAUGGGGACAACAGCUGGAAACGGCUGCUAAUACCGAAUACGUUCUUUUUGUCGCAUGGCAGAGGGAAGAAAGGGAGGCUCUUCGGAGCUUUCGCUGAAGGAGGGGCUUGCGUCUGAUUAGCUAGUUGGAGGGGUAACAGCCCACCAAGGCGACGAUCAGUAGCCGGUCUGAGAGGAUGAACGGCCACAUUGGGACUGAGAUACGGCCCAGACUCCUACGGGAGGCAGCAGUCGGGAAUAUUGCGCAAUGGAGGAAACUCUGACGCAGUGACGUCGCGUGCAGGAAGAAGGUUUUCAGAUUGUAAACUGCUUUAGACAGGGAAGAAAAAAGACAGUACCUGUAGAAUAAGCUCCGGCUAACUACGUG